ACGCUCGACACCUACGUGAGGCAGCAGUGGGGAAUAUUGCACAAUGGGGGAAACCCUGAUGCAGCGACGCCGCGUGGAGGGAGAAGGUCUUCGGAUUGUAAACUCCUGUUGUUGGGGAAAAAGAGGAUGGUACCCAACAAGGAAGUGACGGCUAACUACGUGCCAUCAGCCGCGGUAAUCUGAGCGGGCUGGCAAGGC
rnacentral:rRNA from 1 species